rnacentral:rRNA from 10 species
UGGAAAUCAUUCAUAGAGUGUAAAGGCAUAAGGGAGCUUGACUGCGAGACCUACAAGUCGAGCAGGGUCGAAAGACGGACUUAGUGAUCCGGUGGUUCCGCAUGGAAGGGCCAUCGCUCAACGGAUAAAAGCUACCCCGGGGAUAACAGGCUUAUCUCCCCCAAGAGUUCACAUCGACGGGGAGGUUUGGCACCUCGAUGUCGGCUCAUCGCAUCCUGGGGCUGUAGUCGGUCCCAAGGGUUGGGCUGUUCGCCCAUUAAAGCGGUACGCGAGCUGGGUUCAGAACGUCGUGAGACAGUUCGGUCCCUAUCCGUCGUGGGCGUAGGAAAUUUGAGAGGAGCUGUCCUUAGUACGAGAGGACCGGGAUGGACAUACCUCUGGUGUACCAGUUGUCGUGCCAACGGCAUAGCUGGGUAGCUAUGUGUGGACGGGAUAAGUGCUGAAAGCAUCUAAGCAUGAAGCCCCCCUCAAGAUGAGAUUUCCCAACUUCGGUUAUAAGAUCCCUCAAAGAUGAUGAGGUUAAUAGGUUCGAGGUGGAAGCAUGGUGACAUGUGGAGCUGACGAAUACUAAUCGAUCGAAGACUUAAUCAA